rnacentral:misc_RNA from 1 species
GCGCCCCCCACCGAUCCGCUCCCGCUGGCUGGGAGUCGUGUCGAGUGAAAGUGGCCAUCCCGCGGUGCCUUUCAGAGUGCGUGCCGAGGGUUGGCUGAAAUGGAUGGAAUCGGGCCGCCGUGGUGACACAGUCCGCGAUCGGGUGAUUCUCGGGCUCCUCCGGGAGCCCGGGAUUUUUCUAAGUGCGGGGCUGCGUCGCCCAGUCGGUCGUGGGUUACCUCAUGCAGGUCGAGCGCGCCCCCGCGGCGCGCGUCACGCAU